AUUGAACGCUGGCGGCAGGCCUAACACAUGCAAGUCGAACGAGUGGCGGACGGGUGAGUAAUGUCUGGGAAACUGCCUGAUGGAGAGGGAUAACUACUGGAAACGGUAGCUAAUACCGCAUACCAUCGGAUGGGCCCAGAGGGGAUUAGCUAGUAGGUGGGGUAACGGCUCACCUAGGCGACGAUCCCUAGCUGGUCUGAGAGGAUGACCAGCCACCCUGGAACUGAGACACUGUCCAGAAUCCUACGGGAGGCAGCAGUGGGGAAUAUUGCACAAUGGGGCAAACCCUGAUGCAGCAACGCCGCGUGCGGGAUGACGGCCCUCGGGUUGUAAACCGCUUUCAGCCAUGACGCGGUAGUGGCAGAAGAAGCACCGGCUAACUACGUGCCAGCAGCCGCGGUAAUAC
rnacentral:rRNA from 1 species